GACGAACGCUGGCGGCGUGCCUAAUACAUGCAAGUUGAGCGCUGAAGGUUGGUACUUGUACCGACUGGAUGAGCAGCGAACGGGUGAGUAACGCGUGGGGAAUCUGCCUUUGAGCGGGGGACAACAUUUGGAAACGAAUGCUAAUACCGCAUAAAAACUUUAAACACAAGUUUUAAGUUUGAAAGAUGCAAUUGCAUCACUCAAAGAUGAUCCCGCGUUGUAUUAGCUAGUUGGUGAGGUAAAGGCUCACCAAGGCGAUGAUACAUAGCCGACCUGAGAGGGUGAUCGGCCACAUUGGGACUGAGACACGGCCCAAACUCCUACGGGAGGCAGCAGUAGGGAGUCUUCGGCAAUGGACGAAAGUCUGACCGAGCAACGCCGCGUGAGUGAAGAAGGGUUUCGGAUCGUAAAACUCUGUUGGUAGAGAAGAACGUUGGUGAGAGUGGAAAGCUCAUCAAGUGACGGUAACUACCCAGAAAGGGACGGCUAACUACGUG
rnacentral:rRNA from 1 species